GGGGAAUAUUGCACAAUGGGGGAAACCCUGAUGCAGCAACGCCGCGUGAAGGAUGAAGGUUUUCGGAUUGUAAACUUCUUUAGUCAGGGACGAAUAAAUGACGGUACCUGAAGAAUAAGCCACGGCUAACUACGUGCCAGCAGCCGCGGUAAUACGUAGGUGGCGAGCGUUGUCCGGAAUUACUGGGUGUAAAGGAUGCGUAGGCGGGAAUGUAAGUCAGAUGUGAAAUCCCAGGGCUUAACUCUGGAGCUGCAUCUGAGACUGCAUAUCUAGAGUGCAGGAGAGGAAAGCGGAAUUCCUAGUGUAGCGGUGAAAUGCGUAGAUAUUAGGAAGAACACCAGUGGCGAAGGCGGCUUUCUGGACUGUAACUGACGCUGAUGCAUGAAAGCGUGGGGAGCAAACA
rnacentral:rRNA from 1 species